ACCAUGUUCCUACGGUGUUUCCUAUUAUCGAGGAGUACUCGGCUUCGGAGAUCCAAGCAGUUCUUGCAGAACGUAGAGUUCCUUCGUUCCUUUCUUCCUGGAUUCUUUUAGAGAUGCAAAUUUUAAAAAUCAAGGAUGAGAACGUAUUUCCUUUUGGAGAAGGACUGGAACCCAGUGAUUAUCUCUCCUACCCGGAGUCCUUGAAUUUUGUAAACCAAUGCAACACAAGAAACCUCACUAACCAAGCACGUAAACAAUACAAUCAGGCUAGUAAAUCAACCAAGACUCCUGAAUCCAAACCUUGGUAUCAGGAGUUUGUGAGAUUACUAAGAACCCUGUAUCCCGCUAGUCCUGUGAUAGAUUUAACCGAUACUUUCAAUGAACUACUUGCCCUGGAGUUUGAUGAUGACUCUCGUCUCCAGUCUUAUCUUCCACUUCGUUUCUCCGUCCUGACCGAGUCAAUUAUUAUUCUCAGCUUCGACGUUUCCGAACACAACCUUGGUUCAGUUACAAGAUUCAGUCCUGGAUUUCUUAGUGACAACCAAGCCAAGCUUUUGUUUAUUGUUUAUCAGCUUGUGAAUAUAGUGAAAACCUACCAGGAUUUAGGUGUUUAUAUAGGCGAGCUUCAACUUAAAGAUUUUACGAUAACUCAAACUCUUCAUGUAGCUCACAAGCCAAAGUUCCUGGAGAACCUCAUAAAAACUCCCUGUAAACCUGAAACCAAAGAUUUAAAUGUUUGUAUUGAGACUGAUAGCAUCUGUGAUAAAGUACUUGGUUGGGUUCAGGGUAGGGUUAGCAACCUGGAGUAUAUCCUGUACCUAAACCAGCUUUCAGGACGUAGGUUCGGAGAUCCAAACUUUCAUCCUGUGGUUCCCUGGGUUACAGAUUUCACAUCCAGGAACGGAAAAUUGCGAGAUCUGACCAAAUCCAAGUUUAGAUUAAAUAAAGGCGACGAACUGCUGGACCGGACCUAUGAGAGCGGAGAUCACCACGUUACAGCAGUUCUCUCCGAGAUCACCUACUACACUUACCUCGCUAGACGGACGGAUAACAAGGUUCUCUGCAAGUACGUGAGACCGAGUUGGGUUCCGGAGGAGUAUCCGAGGUCUAUACAGAGACUGCAGGAGUGGUCUCCGGACGAGGCUAUUCCGGAGUUUUAUCAGGAUCCUAUGGUUUUCUCGUCAAUUCAUUCAGAUCUUCCCGAUUUAGAACUUCCUGAUUGGAUUUCUUCCCCUGAUGAUUUUAUAAUUUGGCAUCGAAGCAUCCUUGAGUCGGAGGAGGUUUCUCGUCAUCUCCAUUCCUGGAUAGAUCUAACCUUUGGGUACAAACUGUCAGGGAGCGCUGCGAUUAGGAACAAAAACGUCUGUUUGGAUUUCUCCGAGAACCAGCGGGAUCUGAGAGUACGCGGAGUUCUUCAGCUGUUCACCCAACCUCAUCCGAUCAGACAGAAACAGAAACCUGUUAUUCCAAAUCCAAUACCAACCGUUGAUCUUUCCGAUUUUGAUGAUCCUGAUCCAGGUACAGAGGAGGGUGGAGCAGGGGUUUGGGAUCCUCCGAGUAAGAUCUUAAUUCCUCCAGAGUUUCAUCCCGCGGCAGAUGUUUCCGUCCUGGAAUCCUUAAAUACAUUCCUAUUUCGAGCGUUUACUUAUAAAUUCAAGGACAAGGAUUUGACUGAUGAGAAGGUUGGGAGAAACAUGACGUAUCUCCGGAAGGUCAAGCCUAUGCAGAUCCUAGGCUGCUUGAUCUCUGAACUUUUUCAUCCUAGGAAGUUUCGUGCUCUUGGAGAUCAACCUAGUUUUGAGACAAGAUACAGAAACUCAGCUGAUUUAAUAAUCAGAGAAGAGAAAACCGUUCCGCUCUGUAUCCGGGGACUAUUGAAGAAGCUUCUGCUGAUCAGGGAUCUUACUCCGUUUGAUCUUGAACCCUCGGAUAGGUUUCCAGUAGUAUCGGAUCAGGGUUUGCCUCUCCCUUCCGCGGAGCUGUUACUUGAUCCGAUUCUCAGCGGAUACUUCCCAACCUUGUUUGCUCCCUUCCUUCAAACCAUAUCUGCUAUUGAAACCUUGAACAAUGCAGCGGAGUAUAUCGAGGACUCAGAUGCGUUAGAAUCCUUGUCGGAGUUUCAGGUCAAACUUGUUGCACGGAGAAUAUCUCCGUUGAUCCAGGAAGCGAGGAAUGAACAUAUUGAACUUGUUCUUCCACUUUACUGCUCUUUGAUAUAUUCAUCGCGUACAGCAGUUCAGGCCUGCUGGCAUCUACUGGAUAAGAUCAGUGUUAGUUUAGGUCCGGAGAGAACUCAAGAAACUUUCCUUGCAUCAAUAGUUUCUCAUUAUAAGAAUAUUUACACUACUAAGCAUGUUAAACUUUAUCAUAGAUCUUUCAUCUUGGUCUUGAUGGCAAGGUUGAGACUGCCUGUAUUCCUGGAUAGUUUCUCCUAUAUCUUGAUAGAAGCGACCGGAGGAAAUAGGGAGUUCUCCGAGACUCCGGUUCCAACACCGUCCGAUCAACCACAGUCUCAUCUGAACCUGGAGCCGGAACCAUCCUUGACGUACGGAGAAGUAUUUAGUUUCGACAGUUGGGAUUCGCUUGGCUCGAUGAAAAUUGGUCUUGGGACGGAUACCAUCUCCUCUGUUGCACAGAACUUAAAACAACCUGGAGCUGACUCGAUCGACGUGCAUGCGUCCGUAGUAUUUAGAUUCAAUGAUGAGGACGCAUCAAGUCAGGGCCGGAGAGAGAACUCCGUGGUUCAAAUAAGUAAGGAAACCUUGCUCUGGCUCCCUCAAAGACUGGGACCUGUUCUAACUGCCAAGCAUAUUACUAGAAACCUUCUCCGGAUGAUGAGCCUGUGUUAUCUUCCUCCCGAGGGGUUGGAACCUACUGACCAAUAUUUUCCAGAUCAGCAAAUCCGGAUUUCUCCGUCAAUGUUAGCAGGUGAUUCACUAAGUCUAUCCGUCCUGGAGUGCUUGAGAAAGAUUGCUGAACUCUACGGAGAUCAUUUUAUCUUGGUUCAGUAUCUACCCUGGUGCUGGGACCUAGCAGGGUUAUGUCGGAGAAAGAUAACUCCGAACCUGGAAGGUGGUCUGCUCGGAGCCCUGGCAGUUCUUCAUUCUGUGAUUCCUCUUCUCUCAGACUCCAUUCUUAUGAAGGAGCUGGAUAAUAUUACAUCUCAGAUUCUCUGCCCUGUGAUACACGCUGCAACCUCUAGUCAAAACUCCUUCACAUCUGGACCUCAAGUCAGGUCCGCACUUCUUCUCAAGUCCCUGGACGUCCUUUACCUCCUCGGACUCAGGAUCGGAGAGGAGAUGUCCCGAACCCAUCUCAACGAACUGGCGAUAGGAGUGUUCUCAGCGUUCAGCAAGGUUUUCGAAGACGUUAGUUGUGAAAAAUCCGCAAAUUUUGAAUCUCCCCGUACACAAAAAAUACAACUAUCGACGGAACUGGCCGAAGUGUUGACUAAAAAGCUGGCGUAUUGUAUUUAUAUAUCCUUUUAUUUCCUCCUGGGUGAAACCUUCCUCGACGAAACAGUUCCAAACAUCUGUCUGAUUAAGAAACUGUGCCUGGAGUAUCAAUCAGGACUCACUGCUCCCAUGGUUCGUCCGUACACGUACAGAGAGAUACAACGAACCCUGCCACAUCAAAGCAACGAGGCAAGUUUCAGCGGAUCCGGGAAUAUGAUUAUAGUUAAAUCAGCAGACGAGGAAACUGAGAACACGUCCGAGAUUUCGAAACUUAUUCAUGCUCCUGCAGGAAACACGUCCAGACAUUUGCGAGGGAACUGGCUAGCGUACUGGGAGCAUGAGCAGAGCAGAGGGGAAAACGAUGGUUUUAAUCUGAAACAGAUCCGACUCCAGAACUGGACAGGACAUCAAGGAAGUGUCAAGUCCAUCUCCGUCCUAGACAAUGAAAACAGUUUUAUCUCCGGAGGAAAGGAUCGAACCGUCCGACUCUGGUCUCUAAGAAGCUCAGGAGAAGGAGAACAUUCCGGAACAGCACAAUGGGUUUACUCCGGGCAUAAAAAGUCAGUAUUCUCGGUAGGAUAUCUUGCACAGAAAGGUUAUGCAGUAAGCUGUGAUGGCUCGAUCCAUAUCUGGGAUCCUUAUGUUGGCUGCUUAACUCACGAGUAUGACGGGUCGAGGGGAAAUCCUUUUUGCGUCAUGACGCCUCAAACCUACGCACAUUCUAUAGUUGCGGCCUCGACCGAAGGCAAUCUUGCAUUGAUCGACACAAGAGUUAAGAAUGUUGUUGAUCUUAAAGUGAGUUAUGGACUUGUUGGUUUGAUAAGAAGUGUUUGUGCCUCAGAGGAUGGAAAUCAUGCCGCUAUAGGCCACAGCUCCGGGUAUAUAUCUUUAUUAGAUCUCCGCUCCGGAAAGAUCAGGUCUGGGAUGAAGGCGCAUGACGGAGAAGUGUUAACCUUGACGUCUGGGGAUUCAUAUUUCGUCUCCACCUCCCUUGAUCAAACUGCACAUGUUUAUCAGUGGGAGGAUUCAAAACUCUGGACCCAUCUCCGGACUCCUCCGGAACCUCUGCAUUGUGUUGCAACCUACCAGGAUCAGAUUAUUACUGGAUCAACAAACCACAAGGUGUCCGUACACUCCAUAUUUAGGGACAGGGAGUCCAAUACUGUCGUGAGUAAACUAAGAUCGGAUAUUAUCCGUGGGAACCUGAUUCAGAUGGAGAUCCUACCUCUCAACCGUCUCCUUCUUCUUGGAACUGAUGUUGGAAAUAUUCAUCUGAUUUGUUAAUUAUAUCCUGGUGAAAUUUAAUUUAAGGGACUGUACACGGAAUUAAGCUCAAGCGACCCUCCAUUUGUAUUUUGUAAGGGUUACUUUAAAUCUCGCUUACAAUCCCUUUAAAUCAAACUACAAACAAAUGGAGAUCAUGUUAUAUUAAUAAAUGCUACAUCUGUGAUUUCUUCCUACUCCUACUGUUUAUCGGUUGAAAACCAUUUUUAAGUUGUGAUCAUUUACUUUUUCUUAUUAUAUAUUUAGCACAUAAUACCUUUGAUACGUCUUGCAUUUAGUUACCAUGAUCUUACGUUAAACAUCAAUCAUGUUUAUAUUGCAGA